CUACGGGAGGCAGCAGUGGGGAAUCUUCCGCAAUGGGCGAAAGCCUGACGGAGCAACGCCGCGUGAGUGAUGACGGCCUUCGGGUUGUAAAACUCUGUGAUCCGGGACGAAAAGGCAGAGUGCGAAGAACAAACUGCAUUGACGGUACCGGAAAAGCAAGCCACGGCUAACUACGUGCCAGCAGCCGCGGUAAUACGUAGGUGGCAAGCGUUGUCCGGAAUUAUUGGGCGUAAAGCGCGCGCAGGCGGCUUCCCAAGUCCCUCUUAAAAGUGCGGGGCUUAACCCCGUGAUGGGAAGGAAACUGGGAAGCUGGAGUAUCGGAGAGGAAAGUGGAAUUCCUAGUGUAGCGGUGAAAUGCGUAGAGAUUAGGAAGAACACCGGUGGCGAAGGCGACUUUCUGGACGAAAACUGACGCUGAGGCGCGAAAGCGUGGGGAGCAAACAGGAUUAGAUACCCUGGUAGUCCACGCCGUAAACGAUGAGUGCUAGGUGUUAGACCCUUUCCGGGGUUUAGUGCCGCAGCUAACGCAUUAAGCACUCCGCCUGGGGGGUACGACCGCAAGGUUGAAACUCAAAGGAAUUGUCGGGGACCC
rnacentral:rRNA from 1 species